ensembl:snoRNA U3 Small nucleolar RNA U3
AAAACUAUGCUUUCAGGGAUCACUUCUACAGUUCAUUACUCAAGAAGUUUCUCUGGCUGUGUAGAGCACCAGAAUCCACAAGGAGGAGAGGGAGCGUUCUCUCCUGAGUGUGAACUGCUGUUGAUGUUGCUUUGCUGCAACUGCCGCUUGCCAUUGAUGAUUGAUCCUGCUCUCCUCUGGGGGAGCUGGAGGGAGAGAAUGCAGUCUGAAUGGC